UGACCCGAGAAUUCAUUUUAUCAAUCAUAUUUUUACGAUUUCUUUUUUCAUGCUAUUCUGGAAUUGACCAAUGAUUCCAUUUAUCUCUAUUGCAUUUUUAAAGACGAGAAAAAGAAAAAAAUCCAUAAAGAAUUAAAAGAAACAAAAGAAAAUAGUCAGUUCGCGAUUACUUGGAAUAAUAUUGCGAUAAACGUAUUCUCACAGGCAAGUAGCCAUGAUUUAAUAUUGAACGAAUAAUCGAAGCGAGGCAAGCUGCUUCUUCGAUAUAUCGCUCGAAUGUGACUCUCGAUAGCGUGAUAAUAUCGAAAAUGGCGGAUGUGAAUGUGUCACGUUUCGAAUAUUCAAUAUUAUUUUGUGUAAAAAAAAAAUAAAAAAAUGAAACGAAAUAAAAGAAAUAAGUAGAAAUUCGUAUUGCGUUUUUAAAUAAGUGAAUAUUUCUAAACUAAAAAUGCCGAUUAAAAAUUAAAGAGAUUAAGGUUAGAAAAUCAAUUAAAGAUAAGAGAUUGAGGUUAGAACUUCAUUGCUAAAUAUUUAACAUAUAUAAUAGCGAAAAUAACAUGAGAAAGUGAUAUUUGUGAAUAAAAUAAAGUGAGAUAAAAUUUUCCAAUAACAUGAAUAAUAUAAUUUCAAAAAUAAAAAAAAUAUAAAAAGAUAAAAUAUAUGUAAUGAUGAGAAAGAUGUAAUUCAAUAUAAAUAAAGUAAAUAUUUCUUAAGAUGAUAGAUUGCAAAAUAUAAUGAAGUAAAACAGAUAGAGAUAGAAAUUGAAUAAAUGUAAGUUUUGUUUCCAAAUCUGUAUAUUUUUCGUGCAAGAGGAUGCAUAUAUAGAGAAACUAAGUCGCUAUUCAAGAAAAAGAAAAUCAGACGUAAUCCGCUUUUAAAAUGCAAUGUAGAUGCAAGAAACUAAUUGUGAGAGAAAAUGAAAGUCGUGUUUCCAAAUAUUUAUCAGAUUAUUGUAAACGAAGACGCAAUAUGUGGAAUUGAGGUUACCUUGCAAGAAACUGAAGCUGAUUCAUUCAACGAAAAAAUGAAUCACCCAAGUAUCAAACCUAAAAUAUCUAAUCUAUAAAGAUUAGACGUGAAGGAUUUGUAACUUCAUUUUUAAAUAUUUAUUAUAACAAAUAUCGAGCACAAUACGAAUAAUCAAAAAUAUCACGCAUAUAAAGCAAAAUAGGAACCACAUUUUUAGUUGCACAAUAAUCGACAAAUAGAACAUAAAAGAACGGAAUAAAAUCAAAUUACGCUUUUAAACAUUCGAAAUAAAAUAACCAAGCAAAGAAUGCAACACUUUAAAACGAAUGUACCUCGCAAGAGAACAAAUCGACUAUAAAUCGCGUUUCCUAUUAUUAUUCAAAGUAAAAAAAAAAAAAAAAAAAUACCUAGGAAUAUGCGUCUCCAUAAAGCGAGUGUCUGCCGCAUUUUCAAAUAAAAUUUAUCCGUGGUAUCAACGUGUAAGGGAGUGAUGCAAGGGAAAUAUGUGGAAAGGCGGUUUCCACGCGGCUCUGAGUUAGGUCUUAUCGCAUCGAAAUCCACCGUUUCACUGGCAUGACGGUGCUUUAUCCAGCGGAAAGAGCUUCUAAUAUCGCAUGCCGUUUAUCGAUUUAUCCCUGGGACGACACACCACCGACACGUAUUGCGGAUCGUACGUUUCCAGUAGCAUUCGUGGCAUUUCCUCCAACAGUUCCAACGGCGAAUCGAUUUACAUAAGAAUUUCUGACUGUGUUCUGACGCUUUUCGAGAAAAAGAAAGAGGAGGGAAGAAAAGAAAAGAAAGGAAAGGAAAGGAAAUGGAGAGGAAUAGAAGAUGAAGAGGGAAGUAAAUACUUAUAGGAGGAGGAAGUAGGAAGGGAGGCGAUGGAUGAAAAACGAAGGAGAAUCGAUAGUCUCUCGAGAAGGUGUCACUACGUAUGGAGCACCAGAUUUACCCACGUCACCGACUACUCAAGCAUCCUGAAAUAGCAUACUUUUCUUCAUCGAUCAGUCUCGGUCGUCUGCACCAAUCUAGUCGCUUGCAACCCCUCUCGAGAAGAGAAGACCGAGGGUCGAGGUUAACCAAUUCCUUACUCGCGGUUAAAUUAUUCGAGAAGACCAACCUAUUUGGGUGGUCUUGUUAAAUUCCUUAUUAAACGUUUGAUAACGUUUUACUAAAUUUGAUUAAUUUAUAUAUAUAUAUAGAUACACUGGUAUUUCUAAUGAAAUUUCUAAUCUUUUUGAAAUUAAUUACAGAAAAUAAUAAUUUAGAUUUUUCUCUCGAGCAAAAAAUUAGAUUGAGUUUUUAAAGUUUAACACGAUAAAAUUGUUGUCGUUUACAUUUAAUUUUUAAAAAUGUUUCUUCCUAGUAUAUACACGAGUGGUUUGAAUUAGAUAACAUAGUUACCUUGUUUUUUAUAGUGCAUGUCUUCCUUAUCAAUUUUUAAUUCGUGUAAACAAGAACAUUCAUUCAAAAAUAUCUUGAAAAAAUUAUUAAAAAAUAAAAAUUGCAUUUUUCACAAAUGUAAAGUCUAUUUGAACAAGAUAAUAUUUCGUCGGAUAUACGAUAAAAAUGUGAAGAAAGGGUUGAUUUUAAUGGGAUAAGUGAAGGUUUGCAGUACGCGGCGUAUACUGAAUUCUCUAUCAAAAAGAACAUGAAAGGAACUUGAAAGCGCAUUUUAAAGUAAAUAAACAUGUGUUUGGAUGACAGGUGUUCAUUUUCAAACAAGUGUACAAGAGUGAAAGAGGUCAUGAAUUUAUUUCUCUUUUCUUUAUGCUAUUCGUACGCAGGAUGUUAUAUUUUUAACCAUGGUAAAUAUUUUAAUAUUUAUUGUACCGAUAAAUAAAUAAUAAAAAAUUGUAGAUUUUUCUCUUUCAUAAAUUAUAUGCUAUAUAUAAUUUAAUAUUAAUUUCAUUUCAAAAUAUACGACAUUUUCACAUUUGGA